rnacentral:rRNA from 1 species
CACGUAGGGCGCAAGCGUUGUCCGGAAUUAUUGGGCGUAAAGAGCUCGUAGGCGGUUUGUCACGUCUGCUGUGAAAACUGGAGGCUCAACCUCCAGCCUGCAGUGGGUACGGGCAGACUAGAGUGCGGUAGGGGAGAUUGGAAUUCCUGGUGUAGCGGUGGAAUGCGCAGAUAUCAGGAGGAACACCGAUGGCGAAGGCAGAUCUCUGGGCCGUAACUGACGCUGAGGAGCGAAAGCAUGGGGAGCGAACAGG